UUGGAGGGCAAGUCUGGUGCCAGCAGCCGCGGUAAUUCCAGCUCCAAUAGCGUAUAUUAAAGUUGUUGCAGUUAAAAAGCUCGUAGUUGAAUUUCGGGAUUAAUAUGUUGGUCGUGCCUUGGUACGUACUGGCAUUAUUGAUUCCUACCUUCUGAAGAACCUCGAUGUCAUUAAUUUGGUGUCUUGGGGAAUCAGGACUGUUACUUUGAAAAAAUUAGAGUGUUUAAAGCAGGCUCGCGCUUGAAUACAUUAGCAUGGAAUAAUGAAAUAGGACGUUUGAUUCUAUUUUGUUGGUUUCUAGGAUCGACGUAAUGAUUAAUAGGGAUAGUUGGGGGCAUUAGUAUUCAAUUGUCAGAGGUGAAAUUCUUGGAUUUAUUGAAGACUGACUACUGCGAAAGCAUUUGCCAAGGAUGUUUUCAUUAAUCAAGAACGAAAGUUAGGGGAUCGAAGACGAUCAGAUACCGUCGUAGUCUUAACCAUAAACUAUGCCGACUAGGGAUCGGAUGAUGUUAAUUUUUUAAUGACUCAUUCGGCGCCUUACGGGAAAC
rnacentral:rRNA from 1 species